AUAAGAAAGUUAUUACUUUCAACUUUUUAGCCUUUAAAUUAAUUUUUUUGAUCAUCUUUAACAUUUUGUUGAAUAUUAUUAUUCUAGAGGACCACUCAAUCUUAAGGGGAUUACUAUCAUUCCAAUCUUAUAAUUUUUUAUUCACGAGCUACAAAGUCGAAAAUACUAUAACUCUCUUUUUCUUUCGAUAGCAUAGUACGUACUCUACACUUU
rnacentral:lncRNA from 1 species